rnacentral:rRNA from 1 species
AGUCGAGCGGCAGCGACUUAACUGAACCUUCGGGGAACGUUAAGGGCGGCGAGCGGCGGACGGGUGAGUAAUGCCUGGGAAUAUGCCCUGAUGUGGGGGAUAACUAUUGGAAACGAUAGCUAAUACCGCAUAAUCUCUUCGGAGCAAAGAGGGGGACCUUCGGGCCUCUCGCGUCAGGAUUAGCCCAGGUGGGAUUAGCUUGUUGGUGAGGUAAUGGCUCACCAAGGCAACGAUCCCUAGCUGGUCUGAGAGGAUGAUCAGCCACACUGGAACUGAGACACGGUCCAGACUCCUACGGGAGGCAGCAGUGGGGAAUAUUGCACAAUGGGGGAAACCCUGAUGCAGCCAUGCCGCGUGUGUGAAGAAGGCCUUCGGGUUGUAAAGCACUUUCAGUAGGGAGGAAGGUAGUGUAGUUAACACCUGCAUUAUUUGACGUUACCUACAGAAGAAGCACCGGCUAACUCCGUGCCAGCAGCCGCGGUAAUACGGAGGGUGCGAGCGUUAAUCGGAAUUACUGGGCGUAAAGCGCAUGCAGGCGGCCUGUUAAGUCAGAUGUGAAAGCCCGGGGCUUAACCUCGGAAUUGCAUUUGAAACUGGCAGGCUAGAGUCUUGUAGAGGGGGGUAGAAUUUCAGGUGUAGCGGUGAAAUGCGUAGAGAUCUGAAGGAAUACCAGUGGCGAAGGCGGCCCCCUGGACAAAGACUGACGCUCAGAUGCAAAGCGUGGGGAGCAAACAGGAUU